UAUAAGUUGAAGCUCCUUCAUGACACAACCAAUUUAACUUAUCAAAAAAAUAAGUUAAAUGGUCCUUCAUCACAUAGUUAAAAAUUAUUACGUCAUAACUAAAAUACCCGCCCAUAUGGCACUUGAUAUGUGUAAUUCUCAUAUAUCAUAAUGUGUCAUUUAUGGUAACUAGUUUCUAACUGUUAUUUCAGAAUUCAUGUUAGACCUCUAUCAUGGUAGUUGUAUGUGCUAAUUUUUUGAAGGAUAUUAGUUUGCACAUUCUCGUGGACAAAAACAGGAAAAAAUUUAGCUCAUUCCCAUUGAUUACUUCUUUGUUGUACUUGAUUUGAUUUUAAGAAUAUAACAAAUGCAUAUUUGGCAUACUUCUGUAAACUCAAUUUAGAAAAUUUGGUUUUGGCUUAAGCCAAGAGUUGAACUCAAAAUUCAACUUGGAUCUUACACUUGCCCCGAAUAGUUUGGCAGUAUGCUAGCCCUUUUCUCCAUAAAUUUUCUAAACUUCAAAUUCGAUUAGCUAUUGCCAUUCUUGCUAAAAGCAGAUGCAAUUUUUUUUUUACCUUGCACAUACUAUUAACCCAUUAAUAAAAAUAUGUGAUAAUAAUGUUCAGUUUUUUAUUUUUCAGAAUCAAUCAUGUCAGCAUCAUCAUCUGUACUUAAUGAUAAUGUCUUGGAAUCUCCAACUUGUUGGUGUGGUUUGAAAACACCACUAAAGACAUCUCACACGUCGAAAAAUCCCGGAAGGAGAUUUUUCGCUUGCCCAAACUAUAAAACGGGAGAAGCAAGGUGUGAAUUUUUUGUAUGGGCCGAUAUACUUCAUUUGCUAGAGGAAAAUUUUCGUGCCCGUGAGAAUAAGGCGACAAGUAUUUCGUGGAAUGAAGUAUUACAGCGCGAGUAUGCCGUUCGGAAACGAGAAGAUAAAGUGAGAGAAAUGGCAAAGAAUCUGAAAAAGAAAAAGCGAAAACUUUUGAUUUUCUACUGGAUUCUGACAUUUGUAAUAGUGUUUAUUUGGUUUGGAUAAAUACUAUGUAAAGUAGUUGGGCGAACUCUUUUGGGUUUUGCAUGGUUCUUUUGAGGUGCACAUGGUUUGUGGAUCAAGACCAUGUAUGUAAAUUGUAUGGUGUUAACCUAUAAGACUGUGACGAACUUUUGUGCAAUUAAAUUAAUUUUGGUAGACUUUA